rnacentral:lncRNA from 1 species
CAAAGGGGAGAGAGGGCCAGGAGGGAGAGGAUUAAGAAUUACCCAAGUUCCAUAAACAUGACCGGAGACAGCCCUUAGGACUGGAAUGUGACAAAAGGAAAGUGCCUGGAGAAAUGCUGUGUCUGCAGGAGGGAGAGGGGAACCAGCCAUAACCGGGCUCUGGGCUGUGAGUUUUACAUACAUUCACUACGCAUGAAAAACCCUGGGAGGACCGAGCAGAAGCCGGACUCUGAAGUCUGAAGUCACACGGCUAAUAGAUGGAGGAGCUGGGAUUUCAUUGUGCGGGUAAGUGCCGGUGUCACGGAGAUAUUCCUUCAGAGUCAGAGCGACGGACGCUCAGCAGAGUCUUCCAGAGAAGAUGGGACUUCAAACCGCACAUGCAAGGAUGGUUAGGACCUGGAGAGAAAGGACAUCCUCUCACGCAGCAAUUCCAGAGAGCCGAGUACUGAUGCGCUUGGAUCCAGAGGGGCAGAGAGCCGCAAAGUCGGGGCAUCAAGUGACUACGAUGGCGCAUGUGUGCAUCGAUGUUUGUGGUUGUCUCCCUGGUGUGGACCCGGGACCAAGCUUCAGCAUCCGGCACUAGAGCAACACGGGGCCUGUGCGUGCCGAUGGUCUUAACAGCGUUUGGUAAUUAAAAGAGAUACCUAGGUCAAGAGUUUUGAUAAUCCACGUGUGGUAAAUGUGGUUCACAGACUGUCCUCUACUUUUAUGAACCCACACUUUGGUAUACUAUAUACUGACAUCCCUGAGCCACAUUCCCCAUGCUGAAUUAGGUCUUUCCGUACAUCAGCAGGCUAAUAAUAACUUCCAUCCAUCUCCUGGGUGAGGUUCUGUAGUUUCCAGCAAAUGAUUUUCCUCCUCUCCACCUCCCCCAUCCCUCACUGCACCGACCUGCCCUCCAGGACUGAGACUGGAGCUGAGACUGGUG